rnacentral:misc_RNA from 1 species
GACUAGGUUGCCGGUUAGCUGAAAAAUAUUCAUGCUGUGGAAGCUGCUUUCCCCUAAAAAGGAAAGCCGAGUUCCGAUUUGGUAGGUGACCUUUGCCGGUUGCAUGCCUUCGUUGCUCGCCAAGGCUUUCAUGAAAGCGUGUGCAGGACGCCUUUUUGGCUUUCGACCUGAGGUCAGGCAAGAACACCCGCUGAACUUAA